rnacentral:tRNA from 1 species
GGACGGUUAGCUCAGUGGUAGAGCACCUCGUUUACACCGAGGGGGCCGCUGGUUCGAUCCCAGCACCGUCCA